rfam:Tetrapisispora blattae CBS 6284 chromosome 7, complete genome
GGGAGGUUGGCCGAGUGGUUUAAGGCGUCAGAUUUAGGUAGACCCUAAAACUUGAAUUCUCUGAUAUCUUCGGAUGCAAGGGUUCGAAUCCCUUAUCUCUCA